rnacentral:rRNA from 1 species
GACGAACGCUGGCGGCGUGCUUAACACAUGCAAGUCGAACGGAAAGGCCCCUUCGGGGGUACUCGAGUGGCGCACGGGUGAGUAACACGUGAGUAACCUGCCCUUGACUUCGGGAUAACUUCAGGAAACUGGGGCUAAUACCGGAUAGGAAUCCUUGCUGCAUGGUGGGGGUUGGAAAGCUUCGGCGGUUUUGGAUGGACUCGCGGCUUAUCAGCUUGUUGGUGGGGUAGUGGCUUACCAAGGCUUUGACGGGUAGCCGGCCUGAGAGGGCGACCGGCCACAUUGGGACUGAGAUACGGCCCAGACUCCUACGGGAGGCAGCAGUGGGGAAUAUUGCACAAUGGGCGGAAGCCUGAUGCAGCAACGCCGCGUGCGGGAUGACGGCCUUCGGGUUGUAAACCGCUUUCAGCAGGGGCGAAGCUUGUGGUGACGGUACCUGCAGAAGAAGCACCGGCUAACUACGUG